rnacentral:rRNA from 1 species
CCCUUAGAUGUUCUGGGCCGCACGCGCGCUACACUGAAUGCUACCACACGACGAUACACCCUUGUCCGAUACGGUCAGGGGAAAUCGUUUAAAAUGCAUUCUACGUGAUGGGAAUGGAGUAUUGUAAUUUGUACUCCUGAACGAGGAAUUCCUAGUAAUCGCAAGUCAACAGCUUGCAAUGAUUACGUCCCUGCCCUUUGUACACACCGCCCGUCGCUACUACUGAUUGGAUGGUUAAGCAAGAACUUCAAAUACUUGCAGUUUUGACUUCGGUUGGGACAGCGAGUUGAAGAAGAUCGAGCUUAUUUGUCUAGAGGAAGUAAAAGUCGUAACA